rnacentral:rRNA from 1 species
UACGAAGGGGGCUAGCGUUGCUCGGAAUCACUGGGCGUAAAGGGUGCGUAGGCGGGUCUUUUAAGUCAGGGGUGAAAUCCUGGAGCUCAACUCCAGAACUGCCUUUGAUACUGAGGAUCUUGAGUUCGGGAGAGGUGAGUGGAACUGCGAGUGUAGAGGUGAAAUUCGUAGAUAUUCGCAAGAACACCAGUGGCGAAGGCGGCCAACUGGACGAAUACUGACGCUGAGACUCGAAAGCGUGGGGAGCAAACAGG